rnacentral:rRNA from 1 species
GUGUCAGCAGCCGCGGUAAAACGUAGGUGGCGAGCGUUAUCCGGAUUCAUUGGGCGUAAAGAGCUUGUAGGUGGUUCUGUAAGUUGGACGUGAAAACUCCGGGCUUAACUUGGAGAGGCCGUUCAAUACUGCAGGGCUAGAGGAUGUCAGAGGGGAGUGGAAUUCCUGGUGUAGCAGUGAAAUGCGUAGAUAUCAGGAGGAACACCCGUGGCGAAGGCGGCUCCCUGGGGCAUCCCUGACACUGAGAAGCGAAAGCUAGGGGAGCAAACGGGAUUAGAUACCCCUGUAGUCC